rnacentral:rRNA from 1 species
UACGUAGGGUGCAGGCGUUAAUCGGAAUUACUGGGCGUAAAGCGUGCGCAGGCGGUUUGCUAAGACAGGUGUGAAAUCCCCGGGCUUAACCUGGGAACUGCAUUGGUGACUGGCGGGCUGGAGUAUGGCAGAGGGGGGUAGAAUUCCACGUGUAGCAGUGAAAUGCGUAGAGAUGUGGAGGAAUACCGAUGGCGAAGGCAGCCCCCUGGGCCAAUACUGACGCUCAUGCACGAAAGCGUGGGGAGCAAACAGG